CAUGCAGUCGUACGAGAAAGCCACCUUCGGGUGGCGAGUAGAGUGGCGCACGGGUGAGUAACGCGUGGGUAAUGUGCCUUCGGGUCUGGGAUAACUCUGGGAAACCGGGGCUAAUACCGGAUGAGACCACGAGACCUCCGGUUCUUGUGGAAAAAGGUGGCCUCUCGACGAAGCCAUCGCCUGAAGAUCAGCCCGCGUCCCAUUAGCUUGUUGGUGGGGUAACAGCCUACCAAGGCUUCGAUGGGUAGCUGGUCUGAGAGGACGAUCAGCCACACUGGAACUGAGACACGGUCCAGACUCCUACGGGAGGCAGCAGUCGGGAAUUUUGGGCAAUGGGGGAAACCCUGACCCAGCAACGCCGCGUGAGGGAUGAAGGCCUUCGGGUCGUAAACCUCUGUCGGGAGGGAAGAACGGUUCGGGGUCCAAUAGGCCUCGGAUUUGACGGUACCUCCAAAGGAAGCACCGGCUAACUCCGUGCCAGCAGCCGCGGUAAUACGGAGGGUGCAAGCGUUGUUCGGAAUUACUGGGCGUAAAGCGCGUGUAGGCGGCUUGGCAAGUCGGAUGUGAAAGCCCGAGGCUCAACCUCGGAAUUGCAUUCGAAACUGCCAGGCUAGAGUCCCGGAGAGGGUGGUGGAAUUCCCAGUGUAGAGGUGAAAUUCGUAGAUAUUGGGAGGAACACCAGUGGCGAAGGCGGCCACCUGGACGGUGACUGACGCUGAGACGCGAAAGCGUGGGGAGCAAACAGGAUUAGAUACCCUGGUAGUCCACGCCGUAAACGUUGGGUGCUGGUUGUCGCGGGUCUUGACCCCCGCGGUGACGAAACUAACGCAAUAAGCACCCCGCCUGGGGAGUACGGUCGCAAGACUAAAACUCAAAGGAAUUGACGGGGGCCCGCACAAGCGGUGGAGCAUGUGGUUUAAUUCGAA
rnacentral:rRNA from 1 species